UGGGGAAUAUUGGACAAUAGGGGCAACCCUGAUUCAGCCAUGCCGCGUGAGUGAUGAAGGCCCUAGGGUUGUAAAGCUCUUUUGUGCGGGAAGAUAAUGACGGUACCGCAAGAAUAAGCCCCGGCUAACUUCGUGCCAGCAGCCGCGGUAAUACGAAGGGGGCUAGCGUUGCUCGGAAUCACUGGGCGUAAAGGGUGCGUAGGCGGGUUUCUAAGUCAGAGGUGAAAGCCUGGAGCUCAAACUCCAGAACUGCCUUUGAUACUGGAAGUCUUGAGUAUGGCAGAGGUGAGUGGAACUGCGAGUGUAGAGGUGAAAUUCGUAGAUAUUCGCAAGAACACCAGUGGCGAAGGCGGCUCACUGGGCCAUUACUGACGCUGAGGCACGAAAGCGUGGGGAGCAAAACAGGAUUAGAUACCCUGGUAGUCCACGCCGUAAACGAUGAAUGCCAGCCGUUAGUGGGUUUUACUCACUAGUGGCGCAGCUAACGCUUUAAGCAUUCCGCCUGGGGAGUACGGUCGCAAGAUUAAAAACUUAAAGGAAUUGACGGGGGUCAUAGCUGUUUCCU
rnacentral:rRNA from 1 species